UUGCCGCCCGUUUCAUGAGCACGUGGCUGAAAAAUACAUUAAGAUAAAAUAGAAUAAAAUCCUCUUUACUUUAUGAAAGAAAAUUACGUGAGUAUCAAUAAAAGACAUCCAAAGAGGAAGAAGACGGAUUUCACUUCUGUUUUGGGCUACUUUCGUCCGUACGAUAUCAGAUAUACGUAUCAAGGCCAAGCGUCCCGCAUUAAAAAACUCGCAAUGAAAACGUAAUGAUGGUGGAACGCGAGACCGGAUCACGAAAGUCUCCAGAGAAGCGCGAUUAAUUAACGGUCUCCAUUUUUUAAUCUCCAUUCGUGCAUGGAUUCUGUAACCCAGUUUAAAUCCAUAAUUCGUAAUUAAGAUGGACUCACUGUUGGAGAAUCCCAGGGAUCUCCGCAGAUGCCGCAUUUCCCUUUGUUUCGCUGCCAC